rnacentral:rRNA from 1 species
GAUGAACGCUGGCGGCGUGCCUAAUACAUGCAAGUCGAGCGAAAAGACGAGGAGCUUGCUCCUCUGACGUUAGCGGCGGACGGGUGAGUAACACGUGGAUAACAUACCUAUAAGACUGGGAUAACUACGGAAAACCGGAGAUAAUAACAGCGAAUAUAUUGAACCGGAUGGUUCAAUAGUGAAAGACGGUUUUGCUGUCACUUAUAGAUGGAUCCGCGCCGCAUUAGCUAGUUGGUAAGGUAACGGCUUACCAAGGCAACGAUGCGUAGCCGACCUGAGAGGGUGAUCGGCCACACUGGAACUGAGACACGGUCCAGACUCCUACGGGAGGCAGCAGUAGGGAAUCUUCCGCAAUGGGCGAAAGCCUGACGGAGCAACGCCGCGUGAGUGAUGAAGGUCUUCGGAUCGUAAAGCUCUGUUAUUAGGGAAGAACAGAUGUGUAAGUAACUAUGCACGUCUUGACGGUACCUAAUCAGAAAGCCACGGCUAACUACGUG